UACCAAGGCGACGAUCAGUAGCCGACCUGAGAGGGUGAUCGGCCACAUUGGAACUGAGACACGGUCCAAACUCCUACGGGAGGCAGCAGUGGGGAAUAUUGCACAAUGGGCGCAAGCCUGAUGCAGCAACGCCGCGGGAGUGAUGAAGGCUUUCGGGUCGUAAAACUCUGUCCUCAAGGAAGAUAAUGACGGUACUUGAGGAGGAAGCCCCGGCUAACUACGUGCCAGCAGCCGCGGUAA
rnacentral:rRNA from 1 species